rnacentral:rRNA from 1 species
AUCUGCCGCAAUGGACGAAAGUCUGACGGAGACAACGCCGCGUGAGUGAUGACGGCCUUCGGGUUGUAAAGCUCUGUUAAUCGGGACGAAUGGUUCUUGUGCAAAUAGUGCGAGGAUUUGACGGUACCGGAAUAGAAAGCCACGGCUAACUACGUGCCAGCAGCCGCGGUAAUACGUAGGUGGCAAGCGUUGUCCGGAAUUAUUGGGCGUAAAGCGCGCGCAGGCGGAUUGGUCAGUCUGUCUUAAAAGUUCGGGGCUUAACCCCGUGAUGGGAUGGAAACUGCCAAUCUAGAGUAUCGGAGAGGAAAGUGGAAUUCCUAGUGUAGCGGUGAAAUGCGUAGAUAUUAGGAAGAACACCAGUGGCGAAGGCGACUUUCUGGACGAAAACUGACGCUGAGGCGCGAAAGCCAGGGGAGCGAACGGGAUUAGAUACCCCGGUAGUCCUGGCCGUAAACGAUGGCUACUAGGUGUAGGAGGUAUCGACUCCUUCUGUGCCGGAGUUAACGCAAUAAGUACCCCGCCUGGGGAGUACGACCGCAAGGUUGAAACUCAAAGGAAUUGACGGGGGCCCGCACAAGCGGUGGAGUAUGUGGUUUAAUUCGACGCAACGCGAAGAACCUUACCAGGUCCUGACAUUGAUGGACAGAACUAGAGAUAGUUGCUCUUCUUCGGAAGCGAGAA